rnacentral:rRNA from 1 species
UUCCUACGGGGGGCAGCAGUAGGGAAUCUUCCACAAUGGGCGAAAGCCUGAUGGAGCAACGCCGCGUGAGUGAAGAAGUAUUUCGGUAUGUAAAGCUCUAUCAGCAGGGAAGAAAGAAAUGACGGUACCUGACUAAGAAGCCCCGGCUAACUACGUGCCAGCAGCCGCGGUAAUACGUAGGGGGCAAGCGUUAUCCGGAUUUACUGGGUGUAAAGGGAGCGUAGACGGCGAUGCAAGUCUGAAGUGAAAGGCGGGGGCCCAACACCUGGACUGCUUUGGAAACUGUAUGGCUGGAGUGCAGGAGG